GGUGGAUACUUAUAAAAGAGGUAUUAGGUUCAAAUCUGUGGAAGACAUUAAUCAUUUUUCAAAAUUUUUUCCUUAUUUUUUCCAUAUUUUUAAAGGGAAAUGCCUAGAAUCUGGAAAAAAAUGCGAGUUUUUUCACAUUUUUUAAAACUAAAUCUGAAUUUUUUUUUCUAAGUCCUUGCUAAAGAAAACAAAAUUCAGAUUUUGUUUAAACGCACACCGGUGUGAGGCCCUACUAAUUGGAGCUCACGCACAACACAUCUGAACAAUCCGAAGCGCUAACCAUUACACCCAAGAAUUGCUAGAGGGGAACGCAUUUAAAUGAUUUUUUAUCCACUGAAAUCUAGUACAAUAUUAGUGUUCCUGCAUGGCAAUGUCUCCAUUUCCUCUCAGUUCCCUUUUACUUUCUGGUAUAAUUUCUUGUGCAGAUGACACAAAACAUCCGAAAAAUAUUAUUGAAUACUAUUUUUGCCAUACAAAUAAAAAAUCAAAUCAAAUAUAAUUGAAGAUUGAAAUAAUAAAACAUUUCGCUUAUGCCAAGAUUUGAACCACUAACACAUAUGUGAUGGGAAUGUUUGAAGUUACCAAACAAUUAUUUACUCAAUUCCAUUUUUCCAAAAAGAAUCAUAUUUUUUUAUUAAAAUUUUGAAUUUCCAAAAAACAAACCUCGGCCAUGCAACUUCAACAUAUCGGUAUGCUCUGGUGUGCGGUCCCACUAAUUCGAGCUCACGCACACCGGUUUGACGCCCUACUAAUUAGAGCUCACACACAACACAUCUGAACAAUCCGAAGCGCUAACCAUUACACCCAAGAAUUGCUAGAGGGGAACGUAUUUAAAUGAUUUUUGAUCCACUCAAAUCUAGUACAAUAUUAGUGUUCCUGCAUGGCAAUUAGUAAAACCUCGGCCAUCCCCGUCUACGAAUGAUGUGGCGCCCAUACCUAAUGCAGCACCCGUCCCUGAUAAAAUCAUCCCCGACAAUUUCUUAUCAACUGAUAGUAUUAAUGGUGAAUCAGUUGGUUAUGAUAGUGGUUCUUUUCUUAAAAAAACUCAACAUUCCAAUCGUGCGUCUAAGACGGUAGUUCGUAAAGUUAAGGCAUCGAAAACAACUACUGCCAAAUUAGCGUCGCUUGUAAUGGCAUCGACGCUGGGCCGACGAAAUCCUCGUCGUCGAUUAAGAUGACAAUUUCUCAAGUUCGUACAGUCUUCAUUGAUGAAGCAAACUACUUAUUGACUGAUAGGUUUUGAUCAAUAUUGUCCGUUUUAUUAGUAUUUCACUGAUGUGUUGUUUCUCACUUAGAGUAAACGUUGAAACAAUUGCUGCUAGCAGCAAUUGCAAGCAGCAAUUGCAGCAAUUCUAGCAGCGGUUCUAUUCUUGAAAAAACUAAAAUUGCGAAUAACGUUUCUAAAACUGUUCUGAAACCCAUGGGAUUAGUAAAAAAAAUCCUUUCUGCUGUCAAUGACUGCUGUCAAAGCAGUGUCGCUUCUAAAUAGCAUGGAUGCUGGACCAACCAAAUCCUCUUCGUCCGCUGAGAUUAGUUUCUCAAGUGUGUUUAGCCAUCAUUGAUAAAACAAAUUACCGACUGAAAGGUAGUCGUACAAUUAUCCGUUUUAUUAAUACCCUUUUGACUUUUUUUCUAGUUUUUUUUAUGUUAACGUUUUUCAAUCAGUUGCUACCACUAGCAGUCCCAUUACUGAAUAAACUAACAUUUCGAAUAACGUUUCUAUGACUGUUUCGAAACCUAACAGAUUAGUCAAAAUACCUACUGUUAAAACUGUGCCGCUUCUAAAUAGCACGAAUCCAUACCAAAUCGUAUUCCCCCGCUAAGAAUAUAGUUUCUCAAGUGCCUCCAGCCAACAUUGAUAAAACAAACUACUCCACUGAAAGUAUUAAUGUGGAAUCAAAUGCAGCAGUGGUUGAAUUGUUGAAAAAACCAGCGUUUCAAUUUACGUUUCUAAGACUGUGCUGAAACCCAUGGAAUUAGUCAAAACACCUUCUGUAAAACUAGUGUCGCUUCUAAAAAGCAUGGAUGCUGCACCGACGAAAUCGUCUUCGUCCGCUGAGAUGAUUGAUCGAUGACGAUUAUUGAUCCUUUUCCCCACAUCGCUUUCCCUUUUCCGCAACCACAGCUUCCCCACCAGUUAACCAAUCUAUAAUUGGUUAUCUGUGACUCUGCCGAGUCAGACCCAUCACUCACCUUAUUAUCACCCAUAUGAAUUCCUAUUUUAACUGAAACGAAUCCGAUUAUGAAGCAGCUAGAGGCGCUAGAGGGUAGGCAUAACGUUUUUGCCUUCAUGCGACUCUAGCGUAAGAGAACGGAAACCAAUCCGUUCUACGGCCCUCAAAAAAUCCGUUUUUUAACGACACGGAA